GUAGGUAAUAUCAGUCCCCUAUAAAUAUAACAUCCAGGUCACAUGAAAAAUAUCAAAAAUAAGUACAAAAGAAGAUACUUCAGAUUCCAGAUCAGUGAAAAUCGACGACUUCUGAAGAAUGAAGGGAAUAAGAGUACCUGUCUUUCUCUGCAUCCUGUUGAUGACUACCACCUCCUGUGCUGCUCUGACGAGGAAGCUGUCUGGAAAUGGUGGACAGCAGGCAGGCCAAGUGCAGGACGAACCGGAAAUUCAAGUCGACGGAAGGCCCUCUUCUGGCUAUGGUGACCAUGUUUGCCCCAGAAGCUUGUUUCCUAACUGCUCAAAGAGGCUAGCUGAUCAGUCAUCUUCAAACAAUCUUGGCUAAAUGGGAAACAUGUCUGGGUAUUACUCUAGUGGUGGAUCUAGAAAUCGGGCCAUGUGUGAGGUUCGGUUGACAUAUGGAUACCGACGCUGAAGAUAUGGUCGUUAUUUUCUUAAAUAAGCGUCUAUAUUGUCACUUUUGCAUGUCUCUACUGCAACUUACGAGAUAUAUAUACAAAUUAUUAGUAGUAGUAGUUUCAACAUCGCCAACUUC